rnacentral:rRNA from 1 species
UACGGAGAGUGCGAACGUUGUUCGGAUUCACUGGGCGUAAAGGGCACGUAGGCGGCUUGGCAAAUCGGUCGUGGAAUCCCGACGCUUACCGUCGGAACGGCGGCCGAAAAUACCGAGCUCGAGGGCGUGAGGGGUCACUGGAACGUCCUGGUGAAGCGGUGAAAUGCGUAGAUAUCAGGAGGAACGCCGGAGGCGAAAGCGAGUGACUGGCGCGUUCCUGACGCUGAGGUGCGAAAGCUAGGGGAGCAAACAGG